rnacentral:rRNA from 1 species
UACGGAGGAUCCGAGCGUUAUCCGGAUUUAUUGGGUUUAAAGGGUGCGUAGGCGGACUGGUAAGUCAGUUGUGAAAGCUUACGGCUCAACCGGGAAACUGCAGUUGAUACUGUUGGUCUUGAGUAUAUAUGAGGUGGGCGGAAUAUGUGGUGUAGCGGUGAAAUGCUUAGAUAUCACAAGGAACUCCAAUUGCGAAGGCAGCUCACUGGGGUAUAACUGACGCUGAUGCACGAAAGUGUGGGUAUCAAACAGG